rnacentral:rRNA from 1 species
CCAGCCGUAAACGAUGGACACUAGGUGUGGGGGGAUGAACCUUCCGUGCCGCAGCUAACGCAAUAAGUGUCCCGCCUGGGGAGUACGGUCGCAAGACUAAAACUCAAAGGAAUUGACGGGGGCCCGCACAAGCAGCGGAGCAUGUGGCUUAAUUCGAAGCAACGCGAAGAACCUUACCAGGGCUUGACAUGGUAGUGAAGCGGUGGAAACACCGUGGCCGAAAGGAGCUACCACAGGUGG